CCUGUGGAAUUGUGCUGAUGUGUGACAUGUGAAGGGGCCCCAUAUGUUGUUGUUCCUAAAGAGUGCUCCAACAGUUAACUUGAACUGAUUUACAAUUUCCCUCUUAAAACCUUUAAGGUAAGCCUUGGAAUAAGCUUGAAUUGUCAAUUUCCCACUCUCUCCCCAUGACCCAUACCAGAUUAAGGAAUUCAAAUGCUUAUAUUGCAAAAAGCAACCAUGCAAAGAUGUGAUUGUUUUGCUUAAGGGUGAAUGGAAACAGAGCAGCGUAUUUUGUUGAAACUACAUUUUAGCCAAACCUUUCCACCUCUAGCUUCCCCUCCUCUCGUUACACACACAUGUUGCAGAUGGGGAGGGCUGCUUGUAUUGCUUCAGAUUUGGCAGCAGCUUAGCUAUUCCUGUUUAUAAAGGUCCCAGCAGCCUGCAAGGGGAGAACACACAAUUGCAUUUGUUCGUUACUUGCCUCUUGAACAGUUCUGGAGCAUCCUGGAAUUCUAAGUUGUCUGUUUCUCUCUUUGCUGUGCAAAGGAAGCAUUUGCCAUAUAUCAAGAACUUUGAGGUCACACUGGUGAGCUGCUGACUUUGGGAGAAAAGGUGCAAAAGCAAUUCAUCAAGAAAAAAAUGAACGUCUCUAGAAGAAUACAUGGUCUUCGCGCUCACAGGCCCAAACCAUCCACAAGUGCUGGAGAGAAUGUGCAGAAUUCUUGUGGCUGCAAACAGUGGUGUGGAAAUGAGCAAACAACAGUUCAUACACUUUAUACACUUAUCAUCAUGGUCAUCCUAAUUGCAAUUUGGGGAGUCUGGGCAAUAAAAGAUACCUAAUAAUGUUUAAGAAAUGCCUUUUGUAUCCAGAGUUCAGAAAGAGCCUGCUGAGAACAAAAAUGACAAAGCCUUGGGACUGGAACCCACUGGAACUCUUUUUGAACUCAAGGAUGGAACUAUUAUUGCCAGUGGAUGCCAAGCCAUUGGUCAUGUAAUGCACAACGGAAUGUGACAAAGAAUGUAAAAUAUAAAUAAUUUUGAUACUGCUUUUCAGUAAUUGUAUAAACUUGACAUGUAAAUUGAAACAUAUUUUAAAUAUAAAAAUAAUAUACAUAUUUUAAAA